CCUACGGGCGACAGCAGUGGGGAAUAUUGGGCAAUGGGCGCAAGCCUGACCCAGCAACGCCGCGUGAAGGAAGAAGGCUUUCGGGUUGUAAACUUCUUUUGACAGGGAAGAGUAGAAGACGGUACCUGCCGAAUAAGCCACGGCUAACUACGUGCCAGCAGCCGCGGUAAUACGUAGGUGGCAAGCGUUGUCCGGAUUUACUGGGUGUAAAGGGCGUGUAGCCGGGUUGACAAGUCAGAUGUGAAAUCCUGCGGCUUAACCGCAGAACUGCAUUUGAAACUGUUGAUCUAGAGUACUGGAGAGGCAGACGGAAUGCCUAGUGUAGCGGUGAAAUGCGUAGAUAUUAGGAGGAACACCAGUGGCGAAGGCGGUCUGCUGGACAGCGACUGACGGUGAGGCGCGAAAGCGUGGGGAGCAAACAGGAUUAGAUACCCGAGUAGUC
rnacentral:rRNA from 1 species